rnacentral:rRNA from 1 species
CCCUUAGAUGUUCUGGGCCGCACACGCGCUACACUGAAGGAGGCAGCGUGUACUCCUGGAUCGAAAGAUUUGGGUAACCCGCGAAUCUCCUUCGUGCUAGGGAUUGAGGUUUGCAAUUAUCCUUCAUGAACGAGGAAUUCCCAGUAAGUGCAAGUCAUAAGUUUGCGCUGACUACGUCCCUGCCCUUUGUACACACCGCCCGUCGCUACUACCGAUUGAAUGAUUUAGUGAGGACUUCGGACUGGGACCGAUGCGGCUUUCGGGCUGCGUCGGUAUUCUGGAAAGAUGUCCAAACUGUAUCAUUUAGAGGAAGUAAAAGUCGUAACA